rnacentral:rRNA from 1 species
GUCCACGCCCUAACGAUGGAUACUCGACAUACGCGAUACACUGUGUGUGUCUGAGCGAAAGCAUUAAGUAUCCCACCUGGGAAGUACGAUCGCAAGAUUGAAACUCAAAGGAAUUGGCGGGGUCCGCACAAGCGGUGGAGCAUGUGGUUUAAUUCGAUGAUACGCGAGGAACCUUACCUGGGCUAGAAUGCUGGGAGACCGUGGGUGAAAGCUCACUUUGUAGCAAUACACUGCCAGUAAGGUGCUGCAUGGCUGUCGU